UUGGAGGGCAAGUCUGGUGCCCCCAUUCGCGGUUAUUCCAGCUCCAAUAGCGUAUAUUAAAGUUGUUGCAGUUAAAAAGCUCGUAACUGAAUUUUGGACCUGGCUGGGUGGUCUUGCCGAAAGGUAAGCACUGCUCUGGUCGGGUCUUUCCUUCUGGGGAACCUGCGUGCUCUUGAUUGAGUGCGCCGGGGAUCCAGGACUUUUACUUUGAAAAAAUUAGAGUGUUUAAAGCAAGCUUACGCUUGAAUACAUUAGCAUGGAAUAAUAGAAUAGGACUCUGGUUCUAUUUUGUUGGUUUCUAGGACCUAAGUAAUGAUUAAUAGGGAAACUUGGGGGCAUUAGUAUUUAAUUGUCCCAGGUGAAAUUCUUGGAUUAAUGAAAGACCAACUUCUGCGAAAACAUUUGCCCACCGAUGUUUUCUUUAAUCCAGUACGAAAGUUUGGGGAUCUCUAAAUCAUCAGAUACCGCUCUUAUUCUUAACCUAUUAACUAUUUCCUACCAAGGAACAGACGAAUUUAACUUAUUUACUUGUUCCGUGCCUUUUCUGGCAAC
rnacentral:rRNA from 1 species